CUUUAUAUUUGCUUGACUGGGAAGCCAUUCAUCAUCCUGUGUCUCUAUUUUAUCAUCCCCAAAGAGUUUCUUGGAGUUCACUGAACUCCCUGGACUACAUGGCGUGGAGAGACUAAUACCUUAAACCAUGAGAGUCUGAAAUGGAACAGCUACCAGAGUCGGCAGUCACAGGGCUCCGUGAAGAAGCAGCCUAGGACCUAUCACAGAGAAGAUGGCCUUGGUGUCCUGACCACUCUCCAGCCAUCGAAGCAGUGGACCGGCCCCAGGGCGCGGGCUCCUUGGGCAAACAGUGCCCAGAAUAUUUUGGUGAGCACUGUAAGUUAUUCGUGAUGACAUCAACCUCCUACAGU
rnacentral:lncRNA from 1 species